AGUGAACGCUGGCGGUAGGCCUAACACAUGCAAGUCGAACGGCAGCACAGUAAGAGCUUGCUCUUACGGGUGGCGAGUGGCGGACGGGUGAGGAAUACAUCGGAAUCUACUUUUUCGUGGGGGAUAACGUAGGGAAACUUACGCUAAUACCGCAUACGACCUACGGGUGAAAGCAGGGGAUCUUCGGACCUUGCGCGAUUGAAUGAGCCGAUGUCGGAUUAGCUAGUUGGCGGGGUAAAGGCCCACCAAGGCGACGAUCCGUAGCUGGUCUGAGAGGAUGAUCAGCCACACUGGAACUGAGACACGGUCCAGACUCCUACGGGAGGCAGCAGUGGGGAAUAUUGGACAAUGGGCGCAAGCCUGAUCCGGCCAUACCGCGUGGGUGAAGAAGGCCUUCGGGUUGUAAAGCCCUUUUGUUGGGAAAGAAAAGCAGUAGGUUAAUACCCCGCUGUUCUGACGGUACCCAAAGAAUAAGCACCGGCUAACUUCGUG
rnacentral:rRNA from 1 species